ACCUGUCUUUGAGAACAAACAGUACUUGCAUAAUUGUUUAACAUCCCAUUUAUUUACACUAACAGUUUACACAUCUCUUCAGGAAAAAGAAAANNNNNNNNNNAGGAGAGGAGAGGAGAGGAGAGGAGAGGAGAGGAGAGGAGAGGAGAGGAGAGGAGAGGAGAGGAGAGGAGAGGAGAGGAGAGGAGAGGAGAGGAGAGGAGAGUCAACAAUAUUCGAAAGUUUUUUGUAAUGAUUCUGCUGGACCUGAGCAAGGCCAGUGACACAGACUUGGAGAUGGUAGCUAGGUCCAACCAAGAAUCUGGAUCAGAAUGCACUACAAUGUGAUGAAGCAGGUGUGAGAUCAAACCAGCAGACUCCACAGGCUUCUACAAGUUAAGAACAAUCAAAACUGAUGCUACAGUAAGCUGUUCAUCUGAAUACUCCCAGAAGAUAAUUUUCACUGAAAAUUUUCUUUAAAUAACAAGUAUUUAUACUAAAUAAAUCUAACAAAAA
rnacentral:lncRNA from 1 species